rnacentral:misc_RNA from 1 species
GUCUGUGUGUGGGUGUGGGUGCGAGCGUUCUGCUUGUGCAUCACUGAGGAGGUGUUCCAGCCUCUACUUGCAUGUAUACAUAUAUAUAUAUAUAUAUGCAUGUGCUCGUGCGUCGUGCUCCUCAAUCCAUCACACUAAAGCACGCUUAUGCACCAACACGCACGCACGCACACACACGCCAAAAUAGCAAACGCGUCAGGACACGCCGGAAAUAAACGAAAGAAAAAGGAUGCAGUGAUGCGGUUCCUGACAACGCAGUUCGCACGGUGACUCGCGAGCAGCCCUUCAGGCAGCAAAAAAGAAAAGGUCCAUGAAUGAGAGCAACAACAGGGGUCAGAGGAAGCGUACAUGUUACUCAUUCCAACCGAGAGACGAGCGCGCUUCGUGUGAGAGAGAGAGUCGGCCAAGCACGUCCUUUCGGUGCGUUGUUGAGUGGCAGGAUCAGCGCUCUUUUUCGCUUCGAGGUUCUUCUCUGCAGUGGCUGGCGUCGCACGCGUGUCUCUGCGUUUUCGAUCACUUACUCUCAUUCUGGGCACUCCUUUGUGGUGGUCCCCUUCGUCCCUCUCCCCGCUCUAACCGGCGAGGACUGAGAUGCAG